rnacentral:hammerhead_ribozyme from 1 species
GUACUGCUGAAGAGUCCCAGACCAGGCCAACGAAACAGCUGUCCAGUAC